rnacentral:rRNA from 1 species
AUUGAACGCUGGCGGCAGGCCUAACACAUGCAAGUCGAACGGUAACAGGAAGCAGCUUGCUGCUUCGCUGACGAGUGGCGGACGGGUGAGUAAUGUCUGGGAAGCUGCCUGAUGGAGGGGGAUAACUACUGGAAACGGUAGCUAAUACCGCAUAAUGUCGCAAGACCAAAGAGGGGGACCUUCGGGCCUCUUGCCAUCGGAUGUGCCCAGAUGGGAUUAGCUUGUUGGUGGGGUAACGGCUCACCAAGGCGACGAUCCCUAGCUGGUCUGAGAGGACGACCAGCCACACUGGAACUGAGACACGGUCCAGACUCCUACGGGAGGCAGCAGUGGGGAAUAUUGCACAAUGGGCGCAAGCCUGAUGCAGCCAUGCCGCGUGUAUGAAGAAGGCCUUCGGGUUGUAAAGUACUUUCAGCGGGGAGGAAGGGAGUAAAGUUAAUACCUUUGCUCAUUGACGUUACCCGCAGAAGAAGCACCGGCUAACUCCGUG